GAGCAAUUUAAGUGCCAGGAUUCAAAACCAAGUUGAAAGUGAGUGGCAGAAGGUCAAGUCAAAAGUAUUAGGCAUAUGUCAGUGCACAGUUACUAGGAGAGAGCAGGCUUCUGUAAAACCAGGGAAGCACAAUAGGAUUCUGAUGAAGAUCGGAGACAGAGAUCAACUGCCAUGGCCUUUAUACACAAUAUGGUUACAGUCCUGAUGUUGGUUGUGCUGCAUUGUCAUCUGGUGGCUCACUUGGGAGAGAAAAACUGUUCCCAGUCUCAUUAAUCCUAUAUGAAUAGAAAUACAAGGAAAACAUGAUUUAACAGUAGGGAAACAUAAAGAAGAUACAACAAUUUUAUUUCUCCUGGUGAUGUUUCUUUGCAAGUGGCUUUGGUCAAAGAGAAGGUCAAUGAGAAUGUCUGGAAAAUGGAUUCCAUCUGUUCACAAGAGUACAUGAAGAGGGGAAGGUUGUCAUUGUGUACAGACUGGAGAAUCAGACCUAAACAAAACCCAGAGUUAAGGAAGUAAGUUUUCUUUGGAGAGAAAUUUCAGCUCCAGAGUAAAUGCCAACUAUUGGGGUAAGCUUCCAGAAGGAAGUAGGGAACAGCAAAAGGGGGAACCUGCCAGAAGUAAAUUCCAGCUGGAAUAUCGUAAAGUGACAUAUGUGUGAGGUGCUGUAGCACAGCUGGUUUACUUCUCUAGGUAUCAUCAGGCAGCUGAACAUGCUGGGUGAAACCAUUCCUGGCACAGACUUCUUGAAGGUUCAGUGAAGGACCCGGACAAGCCUAGGUAAUUCAUUCAUUUCCAGACACAGUCUCCUCUAAUAUUUUCAAAUAAGUGAACGUUAUGUUUUUUGGAACAAUUACUAAAUUACAGUUUCAUAGUGUUUCUAUUUGAUGAGCAUUUUUUU
rnacentral:lncRNA from 10 species